rnacentral:rRNA from 1 species
AUUGAACGCUGGCGGCAGGCCUAACACAUGCAAGUCGAGCGAGCGGCGGACGGGUGAGUAAUCUAUCGGUACUGCCAGAUAGAGGGCGAUAACUACUGGAAACGGUAGCUAAUACCGCAUACUGUCGGAUAACCCAUCUGGGACUAGCUCGUAGGUGAGGUAAUGGCUUACCUAGGCGACGAUCCCUAGUUGGUCUGAGAGGAUGAUCAGCCACACUGGGACUGAGACACGGCCCAGACGCGUACGGAGGCAGCAGUGGGGAAUAUUGGACAAUGGGCGAAAGACUGAUGCAGCCAUGCCGCGUGUAUGAAGAAGGCCCUAGGAUUGUAAAGUACUUGAAGUCGGGAGGCGUUACCAACAGAAGAAGCACCGGCUAACUCCGUGCCAGCAGCCGCGGUAAUAC